ACGGAGGGGGCAAGCGUUAAUCGGAAUUACUGGGCGUAAAGCGCACGCAGGCGGUUAGUUAAGUCAGAUUUGAAAUCGCCGGGCUCAACCCGGGAAUUGAAUCUGAUCCUGGCAAGCUUGAGUCCCGUAGAGGGGGGUAGAAUUCCAGGUGUAGCGGUGAAAUGCGUAGAUAUCAGGAGGAAUACCAGUGGCGAAGGCGGCCCCCUGGACGAAGACUGACGCUCAGGUGCGAAAGCGUGGGGAGCAAACAG
rnacentral:rRNA from 1 species